rnacentral:lncRNA from 1 species
UGAAGGUAAUAUACAUAUUAGUGUGUCCUCUAUUCGAUGUUUUGAUUCAGUCGUAUUGUGACGUAGGAUAUGUUGAAGAAAUUACAAUCAUUGCUUUACUUUGGCAAGGAAAAUCUGAAUUAACAAUAACUAUGAUAGCUGGUAAGAGUACCUUCUGAAGCGAUCUCAUAAAUUACCCGGGGAACGAGUUUUGCAACUAGGCGACCUCAGCAAGGCGAACGAAGAAGCGGCCACACACGUUCAAACUGCCGAUAGAACGAACGAAGACGCGAAAGGUUGGCCGUACAAACGGAGGAAUGAAAGAAAUGCUGAAGAGCAAAGAAAGAAAAAGAUAGAAGGCUCGUUUGCAUGCCGUGUACGCGAUACCGUGUACAUACCAGUAGAUCGGUGAUCGCCUAAUAAAGCGAGGCGAACAGACAUUCCACUAAGCUUUGACCGCACUUUUACGCGUCGUACGAUCUUCGCGAGUAAUUUGAGCGUUAAUGAGAGAGAUGAAACGAGAAGACUCGAACGAUCGAGAGGAACGGUAUACGCGUAUCUAAAUGAAACAUAGGUGUAUCGUAUCGAGCAGCUUGUUUAACUCUUUAACUACGAGAACCGGCUGGGAAACUAAAGAAAUUCCCCGCGUUAUAUUUCAGGGAUUUUAGUCAUGCGUUGAUAGUACGUGCGGGAAGACGCCACAUAGCGCCGACUCAAGAUUUCGUUGCGAGCAAUCGAGAUUCUGUUCGAACGCUUGCGAGGUUCACCUUCUGUAGGUGAUUUUUUUUUGUAAGAUAAAGCAGAACUUUUAGUUCUUGGAAAACGAAAAUUAUGAUUGUAUUUAAUUAUUCAACACUUGUGUUGAACUCUUGUGAAACACAUUUGUUCUCAAAAUAUACUCUUGACACAAUAAAAUUCCAUAAACAGAAGUCAGUCAGGUGGAAAUGUACAGUUAGCAUUUAGUACAGAUUUUCAAAGUCGUUUUUCUCGAAAACAAAGCUCGCGUAGAAAAAGCUGUAUUCUACAUUUUUCGACCUACUUCUCUAUGAGGAUUCAUCCCUUUCUCAGUUGUACCACUAAUUAACGAACACCUUGUUUAUUACAAAUACUAUGAUAUAUGCACAGCGAAAAUCUAUUUAUCUGAACUCCACUUAGUGGAAAUUUUAGUUAAGAUCCGAUUAAUUCAACUUUUGCUGGUUGAGUUCACUUAAUGUGAACGAAAAAUCGAAACAUGUAGCGAGGAAAAUUGGUGAACUCGUAUUAUAUGAACUCCGAUUGUGUAAACUGUUGAUUGUGAACCCUGACAAGUUCAGACGAACAAAAAGUCCUGCUACAUAAUGUUACGUAAUAUCAAAAUGUAUUUUUUAAAAUACUUGAUCCAAAAGUGAUAUAUAUUUUUAGGAAAAUGUAAUGUAGGAAAAAUUGUUCAAUAUUGCCACGAUCAUGUUGUCGUGAUUUUUCCUGAAGCUUCUAAUUUACUCAAUCGAGGCGCUGAUUUGCAUUUGUAGACGCGCAAACAAGGUGUAGAUCUGCGCGUAAUGUCGAGUGUUUGGUUACCUGUUUGAUUAGACGGUAUACAUCUAGGGUUACGUCGAUAAGCACACAUCGUGUAUUCCUAAUGAAAUCCGAUCGCAUGUAUCGUUUUUGUAAUCUUUGCAAUGACAUUUAUUGUCCUUCUUCAAAGGCAAAGGUGUGAGUUUCGUUUCAAAAUUAUUAUUUUAACCAGUUCUAUCUUUUCUAUCUGACGACGUGUUCUAUUUCCUGGUUCUUCGGAACGGAAUCGAAAAUAACUGAUAUUGUUUCUUUCAUUUGCAAAGAAUGACUCUUUAACAUUAUUUAAAUUCACAUUUCAAUUGUUACGAAUUUCACAUCUUAUACAUAUGUACGUACGAUACGUGAUACGAUUAUUAAUA